rnacentral:lncRNA from 10 species
CUCUUCUGAAGAGUGGAGCCUUGUUCCCCUCUCCCUGAGCGUUAACUGGAUUUAGUGACUUGAUCCUAACAGAUAGAAAAAAUGAACUGCAACAACAAUGGAUGUGAAUCUGUGCCACUUCAGAGACUUGGUUAGAGAAGGCAAUGUAGCUUUCUCCUUGCUCUUGCUCUUGGAUCACUCACCCAGAAAGCUGCCAUGUCGUGAGGAUGUGCAGGCAGCCCCAUGGAGAGCCCAUGUGGCAAAAGACUAAGAGGACUUCUGCCAACAGUGAGUGAGGAACCGAGGCCUCCUACCAGAAGCCAUGUGAGGGAGCCAUCUUGGAAGUGGGUCCUGCAGCCCCAGUUGAGCCUUCAGAU